GACGAACGCUGGCGGCGUGCUUAACACAUGCAAGUCGAACGGUGAAGCGCCUUCCUUUUUGGUGGGUGUGGAUGAGUGGCGAACGGGUGAGUAACACGUGAGUAACCUGCCCCCUUCUUCUGGAUAACCGCAUGAAAGUGAGGCUAAUACGGGAUAUUCUGGGUCUGUCGCAUGAUGGGUCUGGGAAAGAUAUUGUUUCGGUGGGGGAUGGGCUCGCGGCCUAUCAGCUUGUUGGUGGGGUGAUGGCCUACCAAGGCGGUGACGGGUAGCCGGCCUGAGAGGGUGGACGGUCACGCUGGGACGGAGACGCGGCCAAGACUCCUACGGGAGGCAGCAGGGGGGAAUAUUGCACAAUGGGCGCAAGCCUGAUGCAGCGACGCCGCGGGAGGGAUGGAGGCCGUCGGGUUGUGAACCUCUUUCGCCAGUGAAGCAGGCCUGCCUAGUUUGUGGGUGGGUUGACGGUAGCUGGAUAAGAAGCGCCGGCUAACUACGUG
rnacentral:rRNA from 1 species